GGGGUUGUGGCUCAGUGGUAGAGUGCUUGCUUAGCACACAUGUGGCACUGGGUUCAAACCUCAGCACCA
rfam:Ictidomys tridecemlineatus contig116677, whole genome shotgun sequence.